rnacentral:snRNA from 1 species
GUGCUCCCUUCGGCAGCACAUAUACUAAUAUUGGAAUGAUACAGAGAAGAUUAGCAUGGCCUCUGUGCAAGGAUGACAUGCAAAUUCGUGAAGCGUUCUAUAUUUAA